UUCUUCUUCUAUCCCUCACCCAGAGCGUAAACUCUUUCGCCCCAAACGUCAAGUUUAAGUGUAAAAUCUUCCGCCACAAACGGCAAGUUUAAGCUUGCGAUGUUUCCAACAAAUCUGAUGAGGCGGUUAUUCUGAAGAAGGAUUUAUCAAGUGGCUAAUUGCAGUAAAUUAGCUGAUCAUAUAAAGAGUUUUAUGGAUCUACAAGGAUAUCAAACUUUGAUGGUGAAGCAGUGAUGAGAUGAACAGAGCUUGCGGCAAAAGGCUGUUGUCGGUGAGCAUUGGAGAAACGCAUAACAUGCGGACACACACGUGUCCUAAAAUUGGAUUUUUAUUGUGUAGAAUAUUCUACAAUAUUUUUUCUUUAUUAUGAUAAUAUGUAAAAUUCCAGCUUGUUGGGCU